UACGGAAGGCAGCAGUGGGGAAUAUUGCACAAUGGGCGCAAGCCUGAUGCAGCCAUGCCGCGUGUAUGAAGAAGGCCUUCGGGUUGUAAAGUACUUUCAGUCGUGAGGAGGGUGUUAAGGUUAAUAACCUUAGCAAUUGACGUUAGCGACAGAAGAAGCACCGGCUAACUCCGUGCCAGCAGCCGCGGUAAUACGGAGGGUGCGAGCGUUAAUCGGAAUUACUGGGCGUAAAGGGCACGCAGGCGGUUAAUUAAGUUGGAUGUGAAAUCCCCGGGCUUAACCUGGGAAUGGCAUUCAAGACUGGUUAGCUAGAGUCUUGUAGAGGGGGUAGAAUUCCAUGUGUAGCGGUGAAAUGCGUAGAGAUGUGGAGGAAUACCGGUGGCGAAGGCGGCCCCUGGACAAAGACUGACGCUCAUGUGCGAAAGCGUGGGGAGCAAACAGGGAUUAGAUACC
rnacentral:rRNA from 1 species